rnacentral:rRNA from 1 species
GAUCAUGGCUCAGGAUGAACGCUGGCGGCGUGCUUAACACAUGCAAGUCGAGCGAAGCACUUAGGAAAGAUUCUUCGGAUGAUUUCCUAAGUGACUGAGCGGCGGACGGGUGAGUAACGCGUGGGUAACCUGCCUCAUACAGGGGGAUAACAGUUAGAAAUGACUGCUAAUACCGCAUAAGGCCACAGCACCGCAUGGUGCAGGGGUAAAAACUCCGGUGGUAUGAGAUGGACCCGCG